GGUGAACGCUGGCGGCGUGCCUAAUACAUGCAAGUCGAGCGAACGGAUAAGGAGCUUGCUCCUUUGAAGUUAGCGGCGGACGGGUGAGUAACACGUGGGUAACCUACCUAUAAGACUGGAAUAACUUCGGGAAACCGGAGCUAAUGCCGGAUAACAUUUGGACCGUAUGGUUCUAAAGUAAAGAUGGUUUUGCUAUCACUUAUAGAUGGACCCGCGCCGUAUUAGCUAGUUGGUAAGGUAACGGCUUACCAAGGCAACGAUACGUAGCCGACCUGAGAGGGUGAUCGGCCACACUGGAACUGAGACACGGUCCAG
rnacentral:rRNA from 1 species